rnacentral:lncRNA from 10 species
CCACCAGGCCCCACCUGCAACAUUCAGGAUUACAAUUCCACAUGAGUUUAGGUAGGGAUACACAGCUAAACCAUAUUAUUCUGACCCUGAUCCCCUGAAUAUCAUAUCCUUCUCACAGAGUAAAAUACAAUCAUGCCUUUUCAAAAGUUGCUGAAAGUCUUAAGUCAUUUCAACAUUAACUCAAAUGUAAAAAGUUCAACGUCUCACCUGAGAAAAGGCUACAGUCCCUUUUGCCUAUGAGUCCCUGAAUUUAAAAGGGAGUUCUUUUCUUUCAAGGUAUGAUGAUGGUACAGGCAUUGGGCAAGUUUUCUCAAUCCAAAGGGUAGAGGUUUGCCAGGAAAAUAACACAAAUGAGAUGACAGGGCCAACGCAAGUCCAAACCCAGAAGGCCAGUAUCCAUUCAAUCUCACAGCUCCAAAACCAUCACGAGAACUCACCAUCGUGAGGAAAACAUUAAGGAGACAGUGUUUAACCAUUUGUGAGGGAUCCUGCCUCCAACCCUACCUUUCACCCCUCACCUCCACCAAAAUCCACCCAUUCUCCCCAAUCCCCACCUUCCAACACCCACUGCCCUCCAUGAUUAAAUCACCUUCAACUUGGCCCCACUUUUAAGAUUUCCAAUUAAAAUUCCAGAUAAGUUUCUGUAACACACAGCCAAAUCUUAUCAUUCUGUCCCUGCCUACCCAGAUUUCAUGUCCUUCUCACUUUGCAAAAUGAAAUGAUACAUUACCUGCCAUUUCCCCAAGCCACUAUGCUUUUUUUACAGCCUGCAGAACUAUAAGCCAAUUAAACCCCUUUUUGUUAUGAACACACAAAAAAUUAGUACUGUGAAGUUAAGCUAUGAAAUGCCUUCAGUGACUUUUCCCCAUCGUCUUGGAUAAGACCCCCAAGGUCUUAACUCAUUCCAGCAUUUACUCAAAUGUCUGAAGCCCAAAGUCUCAACUGAGACAAAGCUGCAGUCUCUUCUGCCCCUGAGCCUCUGAAAUACAAAGCAGGUUAACCACUUCCAAGGUACGAUUGUCCAGGCAUUUAGUAAGAAUCUCCACCCAAAAGGAAGAUUUUUGCCAGAGAGAAGAACAAAACACAAACAGGACUUACAAGUCCCACGAAAUUCUGAAACUCAGCAGGCCACUUAUUCAAACCUACAGCUCCAAAGUCAUCCUUUUUAAAUCCUUGUCCCACAUCCAGGGCACAAGGGCAUGAGGGUGGGCUCCCAAGGCCUUGGGCAGCUCUGCACCUGUGGCUUUGCAGUGUUCAGCCCCCGCAGCUGCCCACAUGGGCUGUGCUGGUGUUGAGUGCCUGGAGUUUUUAACCCAUGGAGGGUAAGAAGCUUUUGAUGGGUCUAUGAAUCUGGGGUCUGCACGAUGGUGGCCUCCAGUGUGGGGGCUCCAACCUCAUAUUUUCCUUCUGCACUGCCCAAGUAGAGGUUUCCCAUGAGACUCUGCUUUUUUGGCAGCCUUCUGUCUGGACACCAGGCAUUUCCAUACAUCUUCUGAAAUAUAUAUGGAGGCUCCCAAGUCUCUAGACUAGUGCUCCGUGCACCCACUGGCUUAACACUAUGUAGAAGCAACCAAGGCCUAUAGCUUGCACCUUCUGAGGCAGUGACCCAAGCUGUACCUGUACAUCUUUCAGCCAAGGUCGGAGCAGGAGCUGGGGCUGCUGGGAUGCAGGCAGCAGUGUCCUGAGGCUACACACAGCAGCAGGGCCAUGGGGCUGGCCCAGGAAACCAUUCUUCUCUCCUAGGUCCCAAGGCCCGUGACAGCAAGGGCUGUUGCAAACAUCUCUGAAAUGCCUCCAAGCCUUUUCCCCACAAUUGUCUUGGCUAUUAGCACUGGCCUCCAUUUUAUGCAAAUUUCUGGAGACUUCAUGAAUUUUCCCCCUGAAAAUCAGCUUUUCUCUUUGACCACCUGGCCAGGCUGCAAAUGUUCCAAACUUUUGAGCUCUGCUUAUCAUUUAAAUAUAAGUUCCAACUUGAAGUCAUUUCCUUGGUCACACAUAACAGCACAGACUGUUUGAUGCAGACAGGAUCCCUCUUGUGUUAUGGUGCCUAGAAGUUCAUUUCACCAGAUAUGCACUAAAUCAUCACCCUCAAGUUCAAAGUUUCACAGAUCUCAAGGGCAAGGUCGCCCUGCAGCCACGUUCUUUGCUACAGCAAAACAAAAGUAACCGUGGCUCCUGUUCCCAGUAAGUUCCUCAUUUUCAUCUGAGACCUUGUAAGCCUGGCCUUCCCUGACCUUCCCUGGCCUUCCUUCUGUCAGCAUUUUAAUCAAAACUAUUUAACAAGUCUCUACAAUGGUCCCAACUUUCCCUCAUCUUCCUGUCUUUUUUCAAGCUCUCCAAACUCUCCAACUUCUGGUGUUACCGACUUCUGAACCGCUUUACAUUUUCAGCUAUCUUUGUUGCAGCCUGGCACUCCUGCCUUUCACCUGUAACCCCAAACACAAUCCCCCGAAACUCUCCCCACCCUCCCAAUACCCUCCAACUGUCCCCUUCCCACACAUCCAACUUCCACUCUCCACCAGGGGAAACUUCAAGAAGGCUUCAGAUAUUUGCAUUAAAAAGAAACCCAGUGCUAACAGCCAAGACAAUCGGGAAAAGUCAUUGAAGAUAUUUCAUAGCUCCACUUUGCAGUACUUAUUUUCUGUGUGGUCAUAAUGAAAAGGGGAUUCAUUGGCUCAUGGGUCUUCAGGCUGUAAAGAAAGCAUGGUGGCUUCUACUUCUGGGAAGACUCAGGAAGCCUCCCAAUCAUACCAGAAGGAAAGCAGCAAUGAAAUGUUUCAUACGGCAGGAGUAGGAGCAAGACUCACAGAGGAAAGAGGUGCCACCGCCUGUUAUACAACCAGAUCUCAUGAGAACUCACUAUCACUAAGUCAGCAUCAAGAAGAUGGUGCUUAACCAUUGGUGAAGGAUCCACCCCCCAACACACCUCCACCCCCUACUGUUUCCAGACAGAAGCCUGCUGCAGAGGCAGAGCCUCUUGGAAAUCCUGUUCUGUGGCAGUGCAGAAGGAAAACAAGGGCUUUGAGUCGCUCUGCAGGAGGCCGCCAUCCUCUAGACCCCAGAUUCGUAGACCUACCAACAGUUCACACCCUCAGUUUGGAAAAGCGAUAGACACUCAAUACCAGCCCAGCUCAUAAAGGCAGCCAUGGGGGCUAAAGCCUGCAAAGCCACAGGUGCACUGCCCUGGUAGAGGUUUUCCAUGAGCCUCUGCCUCUGCAGCAGGCUACUCCCCCUUCCUACUACCCACCACCCUCCGACCACCCUACAGCCAGCAUACUGUUCCCCACCCUACCCACCCCUUUUUUCUUCCACCCCCACACCUCCCAUCCAUGAUUAAAUAAUCUCCCACCAGGCCCCACCUCCAACAUUUGGGAUUAAAAUUCCAUGUGAGUUUUUCUAGAGGCACACAGCCAAAUCAUAUUAUGCUGACCUUGACCCCCCCAAAUCCCAUGUCCUUCUCACACAGUAAAAUACAAUCACAUCUUUUCAAAAGUUUCCAAAAGCCUUAACUCAUUUCCACACUAACUCAAAUGUGAAAAGUUAAAAGUCUCAUCUGAGAUCACGCUACAGUCUCUUCUGCCUAUGAGGCCCUGAAGUUAAAAGGGCAUUCAUUUCUUUCUAGGUACAAUGAUGGUACAGAUAUUGGGUAAGUUUUCUCAAUCCAAAGGGAAGAAAUUUCCAAGAAAAAUAACACAAGUGGGACCACAGGCCCAAUGCACAUCCAAAACCCAGCAGGACACUGUUCAUUCAAUCUCACAGCUCCAAAAUCAUGAAUAGAACUCACUCUCAGAAGGGCAGCAUUAAGGAGAUGGUGCUUACCCAUUUGUGAAGGAUCCACCCCCACUCCUGCCUUUUAC